AAUUCCUCAUUUCCACCUAACCCAUCUUCAGUUCAAAAAAAAAAAAAAAAACCCUAGUUUCUCUCAACUCUCAACACAUCCAGUCCGGCCGACAUCAUCCAGUUCCACCGUCACAUCCCUCAUCCGCCGACAUCACCGUCCGCCGCAGGCCGCCACUCCACCAGCAUCACCGUCCGCCGUAUAGCCGCUCCACCGUAGUGCCGUACAGCCGCUCCACCUUAGUGCCGUACAACCGCUCCACCGGGUUUGACCCUGUACAAGCGAUAAGUGAAUGGGCUGGAUUUGACCCUGUACAAGGUUUGGUCUACCAAGCUAGUUAUGGACCUUUCAUAUAUUUUAGUGGGCUACUGAUAAGCGAAUGGGCUGGAUUUGACCCUGUACAAGGUUUGGUCUACCGAGCCAGGUUGGGCUUGAAUAUUGUUGUGUGAAAUCAGUAAACCGUCGUAAACAGAGGACUAUGCACCGGGUGUGGGUUCAUGGGAAGUUCCAAAAACCCAUGUCAUCUGUUCCAUCAGUUUGUUGCUGUUCAAUCACAAUUGAUGACUACAAGAAGUAAAAUACUGAUUAAAGACGUGGUCUGUAAAUCAACACAAAGCAAGAAGAUAAUUGGUAGUAGUCAUCCAUGGCUGCAAAUCUUUGUUGUCUGAAUGGAAAUGAUAUGUAAGCAAGAAAUAUAGAAGCUUGGGGAAACUACUGCUAACUGCUGCAAUAUGGGAGCGUAGAGAAAGAUAGGGGAGUGGAGUUAUUUCAAGGGAGUGAGGAGUUUACAGGGAACUGCUGAGAACUGCCAAGAUAGCAGUUAAUUUUGUGAGUCGUGGAGUGGAGAUAGUGGGCAGCAAAAGGUGGAGGUAACCACCCGCUUCAAAAACCGACCAUAACCUCCGGGAACCGCCAUUAGAGUGGUUAUUUUUGGGAAUUUAAACAGCUGAGAUUUCAUCUCAGCAUGAUCCUACGGUGAAUAUUGAUUUGCAAAACGGUUAGACUUAAUGGGUUUAAUAUAUAUAUAUAUAUAUAU